CGAUAACAUUGCGAAAGCGAUGCUAAUACCGGAUAAUAUCCCUUAAACUUCGGUUAAAGAGAUCAAAGGUGGCCUCUCCUUGGAAGCUACUGUUUGGGGAUGAGCCCGCGUACCAUUAGCUUGUUGGUAGGGUAAAAGCCUACCAAGGCAACGAUGGUUAGCUGGUCUGAGAGGAUGAUCAGCCACACUGGAACUGACACACGGUCCAGACUCCUACGGGAGGCAGCAGUGAGGAAUUUUGCGCAAUAGGGGAAACCCUGACGCAGCAACGCCGCGUGAGUGAUGAAGGCUUUCGGGUCGUAAAGCUCUGUCAAGUGGGAAGAACCUGUACGAUGCUAAUAUCAGCAUACACUGACGGUACCACUGAAGGAAGCACCGGCUAACUCCGUGCCAGCAGCCGCGGUAAUACGGGGGUGCAAGCGUUAUUCGGAAUUACUGGGCGUAAAGAGCGCGUAGGCGGUCUCUUAAGUCAGGUGUGAAAGCCCGGGGCUCAACCCCGGAAGUGCAUUUGAAACUAAGAGACUUGAGUAUGGGAGAGGGAAGUGGAAUUCCUGGUGUAGCGGUGAAAUGCGUAGAUAUCAGGAGGAACACCGGUGGCGAAGGCGACUUCCUGGACCAAUACUGACGCUGAGGCGCGAAGGCGUGGGGAGCAAACAGGAUUAGAUACCCUGGUAGUCCACGCAGUAAACGGUGAACACUAGGUGUAGCGGGUAUUGACCCCUGCUGUGCCGUAGCUAACGCAUUAAGUGUUCCGCCUGGGGAGUACGACCGCAAGGUUAAAACUCAAAGGAAUUGACGGGGGCCCGCACAAGCGGUGGAGCAUGUGGUUUAAUUCGACGCAACGCGAAGAACCUUACCUGGGUUUGACAUCCCGGGAAUCCCUUGGAAACUUGGGAGUGCCCUUCGGGGAGCCUGGAGACAGGUGCUGCAUGGCUGUCGUCAGCUCGUGUCUGAGAUGUUGGGUUAAGUCCCGCAACGAGCGCAACCCCCUUCUUUAGUUACCAUCAUUCAGUUGGGGACUCUAAAGAUACUGCCCCGGUUAACGGGGAGGAAGGUGGGGAUGACGUCAAGUCCUCAUGGCCCUUAUGCCCAGGGCUACACACGUGCUACAAUGGGCUGUACAAAGGGUCGCGACAUUGCGAAAUGGAGCUAAUCCCGAAAAGCAGUUCGUAGUUCGGAUUGGAGUCUGCAACUCGACUCCAUGAAGCUGGAAUCGCUAGUAAUCGUGGAUCAGCACGCCACGGUGAAUACGUUCCCGGGCCUUGUACACACCGCCCGUCACACCAUGAGAGUUGGUUGUACCAGAAGUCGUUGGACCAACCCAUUAGGGAGGUAGGCGCCUAAGGUAUGACUGAUGAUUGGGGUGAAGUCGUAACAAGGUA
rnacentral:rRNA from 1 species